rnacentral:lncRNA from 10 species
GAACUGGCCACAGCCUCUCAAGAACAUCUAGCUGAUUCUCAGUUAUGCAGGAAAUUUUCAAAGAAGCCACACAGAGAAGCUCCUUCUACAUCCUCUCAUUUAUCAAAGUCCUCCCCCACAGAGCUUUAUUUUCUCCCACACUCAGGGCAGCUGGGCCUCUGUUUGUCCAGCCAGGUCACAGCUGAGCACUGGAGCAGCUGUAGCCCCUGGCAUGAUCAUCAUGGUUGAAGCUGUGCCCAAAGCCUGGCCCUUGGCCUGAGGGGAAGUUGAGACAAUCAGCAGUAUUGGGAGAUGAGGCAAAGGUGUUCGUGGGGGCUCUCAGGCAGUGGGAACAACGAUGUGAGCCUUCACAGGGUUGCUCUAGCUUUGCUCCCUGGGAAGCAGGCUCUGAGAUGAAGAUCAGCAUGCAGGACUUUUGGGAGGGAGUGCUCUUGGAAUCAACUCCUAUAGGAGAGGAAAGAAAGAAAGGAUGCAGAAUUGGGAGGAGAAAAGUGGAGCUGUGAUUCAUUCCCAACAGAAGCCUCAGCCAAUCCCGCAGGAAGUUCUGAAGAUGGGAUGGUCCUUCACCUGAUCUGGUGCUGGGUAUUGGCUCCAAGAGCACUUCCUAAUAAACACCCUAUAUGCUGAUCUCCAUCUCAGAGUCUCAUCCCUGGUGGCCUCACACUGUGACAGUCAUCUUUAGUUCUGAUGUUAGUCUAACAUUUGAUCUGUUCUGAUCUCAAGUCCUCAAUAAAAAAUUCAGAUUUAU